GACGAACGCUGGCGGCGUGCCUAAUACAUGCAAGUAGAACGCUGAAGGAGGAGCUUGCUUCUCUGGAUGAGUUGCGAACGGGUGAGUAACGCGUAGGUAACCUGCCUGGUAGCGGGGGAUAACUAUUGGAAACGAUAGCUAAUACCGCAUAAGAGUAGAUGUUGCAUGACAUUUGCUUAAAGGGUGCAAUUGCAUCACUACCAGAUGGACCUGCGUUGUAUUAGCUAGUUGGUGGGGUAACGGCUCACCAAGGCGACGAUACAUAGCCGACCUGAGAGGGGGAACGGCCACACUGGGACUGAGACACGGCCCAGACUCCUACGGGAGGCAGCAGUAGGGAAUCUUCGGCAAUGGACGGAAGUCUGACCGAGCAACGCCGCGGGAGUGAAGAAGGUUUUCGGAUCGUAAAGCUCGGUUGUAAGAGAAGAACGAGUGUGAGAGUGGAAAGUUCACACUGUGACGGUAACUGACCAGAAAGGGACGGCUAACUACGUG
rnacentral:rRNA from 1 species